AACGAACGCUGGCGGCAGGCCUCAAACAUGCAAGUCGAGCGCCCAGCAAUGGGAGCGGCGGACGGGUGAGUAUCGCGUGGGAAUGUACCUAGUGGUUCGGAACAACUCAUGGAAACGUGAGCUAAUACCGGAUGAGCCCGUAAGGGGAAAGAUUCAUCGCCAUUAGAUCAGCCCGCGUCUGAUUAGCUAGUUGGUAGGGUAACGGCCUCACCAAGGCGACGAUCAGUAGCUGUUCUGAGAGGAAGAUCAGCCACACUGGGACUGAGACACGGCCCAGGCUCCUACGGGAGGCAGCAGUUGGGAAUCUUGGACAAUGGGCGCAAGCCUGAUCCAGCCAUGCCGCGUGAGUGAUGAAGGCCUUAGGGUUGUAAGGCUCUUUUACCCGGGAAGAUAAUGACUGUACCGGGAGAAUAAGCUCCGGCUAACUUCGUGCCAGCAGCCGCGGUAA
rnacentral:rRNA from 1 species